UAUUCGUUUCAGCUGUACUUGUACCUGUUGGGUCGUUUCAUUUCUAACAAAACAAAAUGUUUUAUAAACUCUUUGUAUGUUUUGUGUACAAAAGUCUUAAUUUGUAAAGUAACUCAUAAUUAAAGCAGUCAGAUAAAUGCAGUGAAGUAAAAAGUACAAUAUUUCCCUCGGAGGUGUAGUGGAGGAGAAGUGGCAUAAAAUUUAAACACUCGAAUAAAGUACAAGUACCUCAACUUUGUACUUAAGUACAGAACUUAGUCAGUAAGAAGUAAGCUGCUUUGGAUAAAGCCAUCUGCCAGAUGAAUGUGAUGGAAAUGCCAAAUGAUUUUCAUACUGUACAAGAUUUAAAUGACCUGGAACACAAUGGAUGCUUGUAACUGCAGGAGAAAUACCUCCUACAGUCUAAAACACAGCAAAAAUAUACUGUUUCCAAAAUGGUUAGCCACGAUGUAAAGCAAACGCUAUUUGCAGUGUGCUUCAACAUGGAAAACCACUGGUGCGGUUCUUUAAAGGUUUAGUAAAUAAAGGGUGUGUCGGUGUGUGUGUGUGUGUGUGUGGGGCUGGAAACGUACAGAUACUUCAGUGAGCAGAGCUUUCAUUACAUUACAGUAUUUCAGCUGUCAGUGUUACGCAUGGCUGGGUUGACUCAGUGUGGAUUGUGUAGGAGUCUGACGUUCAUGUGUUCGAAAAGCUGCACAGAGAAUCACCUUUUAAUCCCUCUCACCUCUCCCCCCUCCUUCGAUUGUUGGCGAUAGAGAGUCAAAUCAAAACAGUGGCGAUGGAGGCUGGAGAGAAACAUCCCGCGACCUUAAAGCUGCAUUAUGCUGCUUAUGACUGCAUGAAUUGAUCAAUUUUUCGUCGUUGGGUUCGGGGAUUAAACGACUCGUUCUAAAAUGCUGAGCACACAAACAUUAUGGGACAAAAAAAAACAUUAAAGCUGCACUGGGCAAGAUUUUUAUGUCUUAUUAAGGUAAAUCUGCAGCAGCUCACUAACUGAGAUGUUGUAGAUUUAUCCAAAUAAAAGUCCAGAGCUGGAUUUAGUGACUAGCAGGACAAUCUGUGCAACACACAGACAAAGGCAAACAAUGAACUUUUGUUAGUAUCCUCUUUACUUUCAUUUUGAAAAUACCUGCACACACAGAAGAGUUAGCGGCAUUGGUUCACAUAUUCAGGCUGUCAGUCACAUAACUACCCUCACUAAUGACAUUGCUUAAUAAUGUAGAAAAACUGACUACCUGAGGCUGUUAACUGAUUUUCUCUGUUAGGGAAACAGGCUGAGCAGGAACAAUCAUGACCAACUUUUCCUCCAGCUUCCUGGUUUGUACCUGAACUUGAGGAAAAACGGCACGUCUGUAUUUUUAUCUGACAACGACAUGCUUUCUUUUUUCUCAACAUUUUUCUCUCAGUGUGCUUUUCUAGAACAUUUGAGGCUCAUUGUGCAGAUGAAUCCAAGGCUUCUGCAAAAAAAAAAAAUCAAUGCUUCUCAGUAACUUACUCAUCAACUUGUUUACAUCAGCUGAUUAGAAAAAGAUGCAUCCAUUAAAAUCACAGCCAUAAUGUCCAGGGUUCAACCCCCCUGCAGCAGCCAUUGUUGCCCAGUCAGAAUAGAAAGUGGCAGAUCGAAAUUAAUUUGUGUGUCCUUGCGAAAUAGGUGGUGCUGGAUCCAGACCUCUGAAUUGCUGUCAUUACUAUAGGUCUGGUGUUGUGCUCAUUGACGGUGUCAGGUCAGCUUGACUCUUGCGCCACAUUUAUUAUCUGCUCUCUGUUUAUGACAUUCAUACUCUCCUGUUGUGGUGGGAAUUUCUGUAAUAAAGAGCUCACAAACAAAGAGUGUCUUUCUGAGUUUUAUUGUUACACUUGCGCGAGCGGGCACAAACAACCUUCACUGGAGUUUCCGGUUGAGGAAGCAACUCCUCCUUCUCUCAGUAUCCAUUUAUACAUUUCUGUGAUCACCGUGACCUUGGAGUGAAAGCCUGUAACUCGUCAUCACUAAACAGACAGUCAGCAGCUGCAUUCUUGACAAUUAAAGCACUGUCUUUGCUGGUAUUGUUCCAAGACACACUUGCAUACCUGCUUAAUGAUCACACUGUGGUAAUAUGCUGGAACAUCAGGUCACUCAAGGAUAGGGCUAUAUUUCUAAGAACUUAGUCUCAUAUAAGGACAUCAAUUUGCACAGCACACAAACCGCAGUUCAAGAAAAAAGAACAGUUAUGCCUUUAAAAGUGCUUUUCUGCUACAGAGUAAAAAUUGUAUUUUCCAGUAUACUGUCAUUUCAGAUCCUGCCACUCCCUCCUGCCCUGCAGUAACCCCUGAGUUCCUGCCGUUCCAGAUCACCUGACCCGCCCCGCCCACCUGCACACCUGUUUCUACUUCGUCAUUAGCCUUGCAGUAUAUAUUUUUCCCUGCCUGCCGGCCUGAUUCCUGCCUGUUUGGAUCCCUGCCUUUCUGGCUUCUGCCCCUUUGCCUGCUCCCUAUCUGUAGAAGUUUGCCCUUUCUUUCAAGUCUGCCUGGUUUUUGAUAACAAGUAAAGCUGAACAUUUUACUUUACCUGCCUGGUAUCUGAGUUGACCUGAUUUUACCGAGCUGUUUCCCCUGGUCGGAAAAACAACCAAAAGCGUUGCAUGUUGGAUUAAGAACGGGGACAUCAUCUUCACUUCGCUGCCCUCUGUAGCAGAGCCAGAAAAUUAGCAACAGAAAAAUUUGCCGUGGAAGUGUGGAUGAGACGGACAGAGCUGUACAGGUUGUUGUUAUUGACUUGUUAAAAUUACAAGUCUUAAAACAACAUACUUCAUGACAGAUGUUAAGCUAACUGCUCUGGGCAGCCGCUACUGUAGCUUCCAUGUCAACUGAAAAUGAUUUCAGCAGAACGGAUACGUCACUUGCUACAAAUUGGUUAAAGAAAAACAACCCCCCCUACCCAAACAGGAAAUGGCUAACAGGAACACAAUGUCAGACUAAAUAAUGAAGAGAAAUUAAAUGUGUCUAUGGGGCGGUGCUGAUGAGGCCGGCUGCAGACGGGAACUGUUCUUGUGGCGCGAGGUUUUGCGCACCAACUGGUGAUGGAGGAGGUGAAGACGGACUCAAUGUUGGCGGUGUAGAAGUGCACCAUCAUUGAAGUACAUCCUCUGCUGGGCUUUCUGGGUGAUGAUGGUGUCCAGGAAGUGGAAGGACUCCACAGUGUCGACUGGGGAGUCACAAAUAACUGCUACCUUCAACGUUUUGUUAAAUCAGGAGUUAAAGGUGUUAAUGAUACAAUGUCAACCAGUUCUGUCAUCUGAUUAAAUACAAAAACUUUUGGUUUUUGGUUGGUGUUGAAUCUGUGCAUCAUAUAAACUUAGAGAGCUGAGCCUGA